CGCUCAGUCAGAUGCAAGGUGAUGGCCAUUUGCAAGACUUGGAAUUUGCUGGUUGCUCUCUUGAUCGCCGUUGUUCUUUUCGUGACGCAUCAGUCACAGUUAUCCUGUGACAUAAGUCCACCUACCUGGACCACUUUCUCAAGGAAAUUGGAUCUGGUCCCGGCGGGCCGUUGGUCCGAGACGAAUGCCACCGGCUGGGCUCAGGAGGGAAGCUCCACGGUAUUCAGUGAAGCAAAGUACGACUCAACGGUGACCUCCACUCGCCCCACAAAGGUGGAAAGUGAGCAAGGGACCAAUCCCGAGACCCCCAUGCCCAUCCUGCUGCCACAAAACUUCUCAAAGUCUCCAGUGUGGGAGUUAGACGACGUUUACAACCAGGAUGCUGCACCCAGACAGUCGACGUGCCAACAAUCCCUCAGGAAUUCCCAGGAUGAGAGCUUCAGGAAGGCAUUCCUUCCCAACAUUCGCUUGUUCCUGCACAAAGACAACAUCAACAUGAGCGAGUGGAACAGACUCUCUCACUUCAGAAGUCCCUAUGGCUUCAUGGGCUUCACUUACGACGACGUCAUGUCGUCCGUGAAGUUGAUCACAAGGGCAAAGGAGCCUCUCCUCUCCCCAAAGCCAGGCGGUGAUGGCUGCAUUCGUUGCGCUGUGGUGGGAAACGGUGGGAUCCUCAACGCAUCCAAAAUGGGCAAAGAAAUCGAUGCACACGAUUACGUCUUUCGGGUGAACGGCGCCCUCACCGAGGGUUACGAGGACGACGUGGGGAACAAAACGUCCGUCUACGUUCACACGGCUCACUCCAUCACCACGUCCUUGACCCGUUGGAAGACCUACGGCUACAAGUCUGCCCCCCACGAUGAGGGUAUCAAAUACGUGAUGAUCCCGGAGGGCAUGAAGGACUACCAAUGGCUGGAUGGACUCCUCAAAGGAGACAAGGUGCAGCUCGGCCCGUAUAAAAACAGACGGCCCAGGACGUACUACACGGGGCAGUAUAACGAGAGCCGCUUUUAUGUCCUGCACCAGGAUUUCCUGCGAUACGUCCAGAACAGGUACUUGAAGUCGAACGUCUUGAAGUUUGCAUACGGGGCAUCGUUCAGACCGACUAACGGGGCUUUUACCGUCUUCCUGGCUCUCCACACCUGUGACAUCGUGGACGCGUACGGGUUCAUUACCCAAGACCACCGGAAAUAUGCCAACUAUUACUACGAGAAGCAUGAAAAAGCCUUCAGGUCGUUCUACUCCCAUCACGACUACGUUUUGGAAAUGAACUUGUGGAAGAAAUUCCACGACAGCGGAAUACUGCGUCUGUACCAAAAAACCUGAGGAAGAAUCCAUCCUGGAAGGAAUAAAGGAACUCGAGUGUCACACCAGCACAGAUGGCGCCGCUGUAGUGGCUGCUGUUGGCAGGAGGUCUGGGCUCUUGUGUCAUCCUUUUGUUUCCCUCUUGUUGUCAUGUGGGGUUUUUUUUUGCCUUUUGGUUGGAGACUCUUUGGGACUGUGUGACAAGAGGUGGCACUUUCUUGACUUCUGGAUCUGCCUCCCUUGGGGCCUUUUGGCCAUGGAGACCAGCUGCUGGGUCUCUGCCACACCCGAGUCCGUUUGGAGAGACCGGAGGAGAUGCGGGUGAAGAGACAGGAGCUGCUGAGCUGGCUGCUGAGCGUCGGGACGGACAAGCUUCACAGCAUCUUGGCUGAAUGAGCAGGUAUCGGACACCUCGGUCUCCUCGGACGCAUCCUCGCUCAUCCAUGCGGACUGGACAGUGGCUGAGGGUUGCUUUGAUGGGUCUGCUCCUCUCCCAGCAGACGAUGGGGUGUAACACUGCAGAGGCCACCACAGUGUAUAUGUUAUGUAUGUACAGACUGCAGAGAGUGUCCAGAUCAGCCCAGCACACCAUCAGAGGUGUGCUCCCAACCAUCUGCAACAUCCACACCAGGUGGGUGUAGAUCCAAGGCCAAGAGGAUAGUGAGGGUCUCUAGCCAGCCUCUUCUCACUGCUGCGGUCAGGCAAGUUCUACCGGAGUCUCAUGGCCAACACGAAGAGACUCAGGAGGAGCUUCUAUCCACAAGCCAUCAGACUGCUCAACUGCAUCGCUGAUUAACACUUUAUCACAAUUGCACAAAACCGCACGCACAAGAAUCACUUUACUUACCGGACUAGAAUACCCUUCAUUCAAUAAUGUAAAAACAAGAGUAUAAAGAAGUCAUACUGUUCAUACUACUGUCACUAUUUUAACAAGAAAUGGGCAACAAAUUAUGUUAGUAUCUGCUUUUAAAUAUUUAGGAUUUUUAAUUGAUGACCACUUGAGUUUUAAAGGGGAACAUUAUCACAAUUUCAGAAUGGUUAAAACCAUUAAAAAUCAGUUCCCAGUGGCUUAUUAUAUUUUUCGAAGUUUUUUUUCAAAAUUUUACCCAUCACGCAAUAUCCCUAAAAAAAGCUUCAAAGUGCCUGAUUUUAACCAUCGUUAUAAACACCCGUCCAUUUUCCUGUGACGUCACAUAGUGAAGCCAACACAAACAAACA